rnacentral:snRNA from 1 species
GGAUGUGAGGGCGAUCUGGCUGCGACAUCUGUCACCCCAUUGAUCGCCAGGGUUGAUUCGGCUGAUCUGGCUGGCUAGGCGGGUGUCCCCUUCCUCCCUCACCGCUCCAUGUGCGUCCCUCCCGAAGCUGCGCGCUCGGUCGAAGAGGACGACCAUCCCCGAUAGAGGAGGACCGUUCUUCGGUCAAGGGUUUACGAGUAGCUGCGCUCCCCUGCUAGAACCUCCAAACAAGCUCUCAAGAAUACUCUACUCAGCAAAGGUAUAAUUCAAAAUUGAAGAAUUUCAAUUCUUCCAUGAAUAAU